AGUGAAAUGCUGAAUACAACAGGUGUAGUAGACCUCACAGUGAAAUGCUGAAUACAACAGGUGUAGUAGACCUCACAGUGAAAUGAUGAAUACAACAGGUGUAGUAGACCUUACAGUGAAAUGCUGAAUACAACAGGUGUAGUAGACCUUACAGUGAAAUGCUGAAUACAACAGGUGUAGUAGAUCUUACAGUGAAAUGCUGAAUACAACAGGUGUAGUAGAUCUUACAGUGAAAUGCUGAAUACAACAGGUGUAGUAGACCUUACAGUGAAAUGCUGAAUACAACAGGUGUAGUAGACCUUACAGUGAAAUGCUGAAUACAACAGGUGUAGUAGACCUCACAGUGAAAUGCUGAAUACAACAGGUGUAGUAGACCUUACAGUGAAAUGCUGAAUACAACAGGUGUAGUAUACCUCACAGUGAAAUGCUGAAUACAACAGGUGUAGUAGACCCCACAGUGAAAUGCUGAAUACAACAGGUGUAGUAGACCUUACAGUGAAAUGCUGAAUACAACAGGUGUAGUAGACCCCACAGUGAAAUGCUGAAUACAACAGGUGUAGUAGACCUUACAGUGAAAUGCUGAAUACAACAGGUGUAGUAGACCCCACAGUGAAAUGCUGAAUACAACAGGUGUAGUAGACCUUACAGUGAAAUGCUGAAUACAACAGGUGUAGUAGACCUCACAGUGAAAUGCUGAAUACAACAGGUGUAGUCGACCUCACAGUGAAAUGCUGAAUACAACAGGUGUAGUAGACCUUACAGUGAAAUGCUGAAUACAACAGGUGUAGUAGACCUUACAGUGAAAUGCUGAAUACAACAGGUGUAGUAGACCUCACAGUGAAAUGCUGAAUACAACAGGUGUAGUAGACCUUACAGUGAAAUGCUGAAUACAACAGGUGUAGUAGACCUUACAGUGAAAUGCUGAAUACAACAGGUGUAGUAGACCUCACAGUGAAAUGCUGAAUACAACAGGUGUAGUAGACCUUACAGUGAAAUGCUGAAUACAACAGGUGUAGUAGACCUUACAGUGAAAUGCUGAAUACAACAGGUGUAGUAGACCUUACAGUGAAAUGCUGAAUACAACAGGUGUAGUAGACCUUACAGUGAAAUGCUGAAUACAACAGGUGUAGUAGACCUUACAGUGAAAUGCUGAAUACAACAGGUGUAGUAGACCUCACAGUGAAAUGCUGAAUACAACAGGUGUAGUAGACCUUACAGUGAAAUGCUGAAUACAACAGGUGUAGUAGACCUUACAGUGAAAUGCUGAAUACAACAGGUGUAGUAGACCUCACAGUGAAAUGCUGAAUACAACAGGUGUAGUAGACCCCACAGUGAAAUGCUGAAUACAACAGGUGUAGUAGACCUUACAGUGAAAUGCUGAAUACAACAGGUGUAGUAGACCCCACAGUGAAAUGCUGAAUACAACAGGUGUAGUAGACCUUACAGUGAAAUGCUGAAUACAACAGGUGUAGUAGACCUUACAGUGAAAUGCUGAAUACAACAGGUUUAGUAGACCUCACAGUGAAAUGCUGAAUACAACAGGUGGAGUAGACCUUACAGUGAAAUGCUGAAUACAACAGGUGUAGUAGACCUCACAGUGAAAUGCUGAAUACAACAGGUGCAGUAGACCUUACAGUGAAAUGCUGAAUACAACAGGUGUAGUAGACCUCACAGUGAAAUGCUGAAUACAACAGGUGUAGUAGACCUUACAGUGAAAUGCUGAAUACAACAGGUGUAGUCGACCUCACAGUGAAAUGCUGAAUACAACAGGUGUAGUAGACCUCACAGUGAAAUGCUGAAUACAACAGGUGUAGUAGACUUCACAGUGAAAUGCUGAAUACAACAGGUGUAGUAGACCUCACAGUGAAAUGCUGAAUACAACAGGUGUAGUCGACCUUACAGUGAAAUGCUGAAUACAACAGGUGUAGUAGACCUCACAGUGAAAUGCUGAAUACAACAGGUGUAGUAGACCUUACAGUGAAAUGCUGAAUACAACAGGUGUAGUAGACCUUACAGUGAAAUGCUGAAUACAACAGGUGUAGUAGACCUUACAGUGAAAUGCUGAAUACAACAGGUGUAGUAGACCUUACAGUGAAAUGCUGAAUACAACAGGUGUAGUAGACCUUACAGUGAAAUGCUG